rnacentral:rRNA from 1 species
GAGUUUGAUCAUGGUUCAGGACGAACGCUGGCGGCGUGCCUAACACAUGCAAGUCGAGCGAUGAAACCCCUUCGGGGGUGGAUUAGCGGCGGACGGGUGAGUAACACGUGGGUAACCUGCCUCAAAGUGGGGGAUAGCCUUCCGAAAGGAAGAUUAAUACCGCAUAAAGCCAAGUUUCACAUGGAAUUUGGAUGAAAGGAGUAAUUCGCUUUGAGAUGGACCCGCGGCGCAUUAGUUAGUUGGUGGGGUAAUGGCCUACCAAGACAGCGAUGCGUAGCCGACCUGAGAGGGUGAUCGGCCACAUUGGAACUGAGAUACGGUCCAGACUCCUACGGGAGGCAGCAGUGGGGAAUAUUGCACAAUGGGCGAAAGCCUGAUGCAGCAACGCCGCGUGAGUGAUGAAGGUCUUCGGAUUGUAAAGCUCUGUCUUUUGGGACGAUAAUGACGGUACCAAAGGAGGAAGCCACGGCUAACUACGUGCCAGCAGCCGCGGUAAUACGUAGGUGGCGAGCGUUGUCCGGAUUUACUGGGCGUAAAGGGUGCGUAGGCGGAUGUUUAAGUGAGAUGUGAAAUACCCGGGCUUAACUUGGGUGCUGCAUUUCAAACUGGAUAUCUAGAGUGCAGGAGAGGAGAAUGGAAUUCCUAGUGUAGCGGUGAAAUGCGUAGAGAUUAG